ACCGAAUGGCGUAGUGGUUAGUGACACUGAAUACUGAGCCGAUGGUCCCGGGUUCGAUUCCCGGCUGGGGUA
rnacentral:tRNA from 1 species